AGUUGCAUUCUCGGCCACAUAGAUCCCUCAAUGGUACUCAACCGCAGCAACUGAAAGAAUGAGAUAAAUACCGUUGGCUUCUCCAUGGUGGUAUGAGAUCGAUGGUAUUGUAGUGUGAGGUCAGAUGGGAUGGAUCGAAAACGCUGCAAACUGUCGAUUGAAAAUGCGAUGAGCUCGGGAGGUAAAGCCCACCAGAGUUGUCAGAACAAAUGGGAUGUAUGAAUAGAAAUGGUGAAGACAGGAAAGGGCUGGACUUUGAAGAAUUGGCAAUGGAAUGCCGCGAAAGGGGGCAGUGGAUAUAGGGUUCUGGAUACUGGGGGCAACAGCUGAGUAUAAGAUUGG
rnacentral:sRNA from 1 species